UGAUGAACCAUUGGCGCAGCGGAUAGCGCGCCAGCUUUUUGAUCUGGAGGUCCCGGGUUCGAACCCCACCACCAA